rnacentral:rRNA from 1 species
AAGUCGUAACAAGGUUUCCGUAGGUGAACCUGCGGAAGGAUCAUUCAUAAUAAGUGUUUUAUGGCACUUUUUAAAUCCAUAUCCACCUUGUGUGCAAUGUCAGUCGGUCUUCUUUAUGGAGAUCGGCCAAACAUCAACCUAUUUUUUUAACUCUUUGUCUGAAAAAUAUUAUGAAUAAAAUAAUUCAAAAUACAACUUUCAACAACGGAUCUCUUGGCUCUCGCAUCGAUGAAGAACGCAGCGAAAUGCGAUACGUAAUGUGAAUUGCAGAAUUCAGUGAAUCAUCGAAUCUUUGAACGCAUAUUGCGCUCUUUGGUAUUCCGAAGAGCAUGCUUGUUUGAGUAUCAGUAAACACCUCAAAACUCUUUUUUAUUUUUUGAAAAACAGUUUUGGACUUGAGCAAUCCCAACACCAAUCUUUUUUAGAUCAGUGGCGGGUUGCUUGAAAUGCAGGUGCAGCUGGACAUUCUCCUGAGCUAAAAGCAUAUUUAUUUAGUCCCGUCAAACGGAUUAUUACUUUUGCUGCAGCUAAUAUAAAGGGAGUUUGACCGUUUUGGCUGACUGAUGCAGGAUUUCACAAGGGUCGGCAACGAUUCUUGUAAAACUCGAUCUCAAAUCAAGUAAGACUACCCGCUGAACUUAA